rnacentral:rRNA from 1 species
UACGGGGGGGGGCAAGCGUUGUUCGGAAUUACUGGGCGUAAAGGGCUCGUAGGUGGCCAACUAAGUCAGACGUGAAAUCCCUCGGCUUAACCGGGGAACUGCGUCUGAUACUGGAUGGCUUGAGUUCGGGAGAGGGAUGCGGAAUUCCAGGUGUAGCGGUGAAAUGCGUAGAUAUCUGGAGGAACACCGGUGGCGAAGGCGGCAUCCUGGACCGAUACUGACACUGAGGAGCGAAAGCCAGGGGAGCAAAGCGGG